GUGAUUCAAAACUGUUAAACGUUAAUUUCAAAAUGGCAAAUCUCCUUGUGGUCCUGUUUAUCCUUUCACUUCAGAUUGCAGGAUUCCUGUGUCAAAGUGCAAGUGCAACAGCUACAGUUCCAGGAUGGGCUAUUGCCCUAUUAGUGCUGGUGGGAACCACACUUAUUCUAGUGUUGGUGGGCUGUGGUUGUGUGGUUGUCUUCCGAAAGAGAUAACAGGCAGUUUGGUGAUAUUCCCCACAUGCUGAAAAGAACAGAAGUUUAACUUGGAGAAAUGAAAUCCUUUGGCUUUUUCAUUAUGAUUAAAACCAUCAAGUGCUGUUUUUUUUGGUGUCAGUGAAGAGCUACUUCCCAGCCUUACUCAGAUAAGAACUAAGAGACUCUUAGUCAGUCAACUUCAUACUCCUCAUAAGAGAAAAACUCAUUUUCAGUUUAUUUACAAUUUCACAAAUUUUUACUGACAAGUGCAUACUUGUGAUUUAAUUCAUGUGUAAACCCCAAUGCUUAUUAUGUUUACCUGUAAAAAGAAUAAUACCGUUGUUGAGUAUAUAUAUAUAUAUAUAUAUAUAUAUAUAUAUAUAUAUAUAUAUACACAUUGAUUA